CACCCCUGAUGCCCUCUGCCAGUUUUAAAGUCUCUCUUCCCUCAGCUGCCUGGAAAGGAGAACUGGACUCCAGAGGAAGUGUUCUCAGAUGCUGAGGAGUAUGUGGUCUGAUUGCAUUUCUUAAAGAGAAACCUGGAGCCAAGGAAUAGCAGAGGGGAGGCAUUCUCCCUCCCACCUCCUUCUCGGGCUUAACAAGGGGAAAAAUCAGGAACUUUUCUUAAAGUACUUGAGUAGAGGAAUCCUUCAGUCUAUCUGGAUUUCCAUGGAUUUCACAAAGAGAGACGCUGGGCUCAGGGACGGGCUUCAAAACAGGACCCAGAAAGCAGGAGGCCCAGUUUCCACGCCUACUACCUGGCAGUGGCUGUGAGCGAGGCAUCUGCCUGCCUCCAUUUCACCUUAAAGCAGUUGGGAUAUGCGUGACUGAUCCAAAUCGCUGACAAAGGGAGCUGAGCCAUUUCCAGUGUGGAUACAGCUUUAUGGCGGGAGAAGAAUAACAAGAAAAUAAGUAAGAAGCAAUUGUAGCCAAAAUGAAAAAUGAAGAGAUCCUUUCUCCAGCCAAUGCCAGCUGUAAUACUAGAAGACAGAUAUUAAAGGUAUACUGAAUAAAUGUUUUUCUUUUGUACCUUAGCUCUCCUGUUACUGAGUGCAUUGUUCUUACUGCUUAAUGGACCAUUUCAGGUAAAGAACUGAAUAUUCAUAAGAAAUAAAGAGUGAUUAGCCCUUCCUUUGCAUACAGUGAGCAGCAGGUCCAGUAAGCAGAUGCUGGCUACAUAGUAGGCAUUCAAUUAAAAUGUAGUACAUUCAAUCAAUGAAGUGUCAAAUAACCGAGUAAUGGGAUCUCGGUUCCUCAAACUCAGAUGCCGCAUGGUCAGAGCACCCAUCUAGCUAAGCCACCAUAGCUGUGGGGAAAGUAGUUAGUACAUGUCUUUAAAUUUGCCUGAGAAAAACUGCCAUGGAAGGGGCACAAAGCCAAGUGGUCCAGCCUAAGAAUCCUAAAGCACAUUCCCCAUGAGACUGUGUGGUCCACAAAACACACGAGACCCAGAGAUGAGCCAGAGUAAUCUUUGAGACCAAGUUAGCACUUUCAAAGACACAAAUUGGUUCUUGGUGGAAACAAACAAAUAAACAAGUACUAAGUAGAGUGACUUGAUUAUUCAGCCUCACUGGAAAACGGAAUAUGCAUCCUGGUUAAAUUUUAGGAUAAUUGGUCAAUUUUUAAAAAAAUAUUACAGGAUGAAACGAGACCUCUUUCCACCCUUUGAGACAUGCACAUGCACAAAAGUUGGCCUUUGCCAUUCCAAACACAGAUGCCAGGUCCAGCCUCUUCUUGUAGGAUGAUGUGUAGGGAGGAACUUCAAUGCUCUUAACCUGGCAGAGUCCAUGGCCACAGGAUUUACAGCUAUUCUUCCUUGGACAAAGCUAGAUAAACUCUGACGAACACACAAAGCUAGAUAAACUCUGACGAACACACAAAGCUCUCUUUUCGGGACAUGUUGCUGAUCAGCCCUCUUUGGUUAACAUACUAUGUCCUCAGCCAAAUUACAGCGCUAGCCAAUGCAAUUGAUUCAGUCUCACCUUUCCAGCUAUAAUUCCACUCUAGUCAUGCUUGCCUGUGACUAUACCCGGUCAUCUUAAUUAGAGGUAGGGGGUUCCUAAAUCUCUCCUGCCACCCAUUUGUGACUAUUUUAAAGGUAGUCACCUCCACAGAAGCUCAAAGCAACCAUUCCAUUCAUUCCAACUUUUACUCUUCAAAAGAGACUUUAUCUUGAAGUUCUGGGGACAUCUUAAUCUACUUCCUGCACCAGCAACUUUCAUUGGAAGAUCCAAGGUACCAUGCUCUCUGAAUGGCCAUCCCCUGGAUUGUGUGCUGGGCAGCACUUGCCUAUUAUUGAGGAAAGCAACUAUAAACCAACUGGGUGUGGAAAUUCACUCCCACCAUCCUGGGAAGCUCUGAAACUGCACAUGGAGUUCCAUGACCAAAAAAAGAGGAAGUCCUUUUACUGUUCGAUUUCUGAUUAUAAAAAAUAAUAUAUUAUCUUCAAACAAAAUUCC
rnacentral:lncRNA from 1 species